rnacentral:lncRNA from 1 species
GCUAGGAUACCGCUCCACCUGGUCAACACAGAUCUGCAUCAUCAUCAAUUGCAGUGUCUUCGACAAUUUCUCGUGUCCUGUGAUCUACCUUCAGCGAAUUGUCCAGUAAUCUCGACCGCUCUUCAGCAAGUUAUGGAGGCUCUGGCAAGUUUCCGGAUCCUAGUCCGCAUCUCAGUACUCACAGCCAUACAGGAGAGCCCAGCAGUCCUGGAAUCCUAGUUGCCGUGAUUCCCUGACUUUCUAGACCAGCAUUACUGGCGCUCAGACCGUAACUAGUUAUCUUGACAAGAUCCCGACGCUUUUCCUUGUAGGUUUCUUGGCAUUUCCGUAGUUCCAACAGGCGUCACAACAAGCCCGAGCCUCCCAUUACGAUGACGACGACGAUUUUGCCCUCUUGAACCGUGACUACGAGAUGUCCUCAGUCAGCCACCACGAGCUGUCCUUGCUAGCCGUACGCACGAGCAUCAAGCCAAGACCUCAGUGACGCUUGAGCCAUGCACCACCGCUGAGUUUCGGCACUGCCAAUUACCAUCCAAUCUGU